rnacentral:rRNA from 1 species
GACGAACGCUGGCGGCGUGCUUAACACAUGCAAGUCGAACGGAAAGGCCCUGCUUUUGUGGGGUGCUCGAGUGGCGAACGGGUGAGUAACACGUGAGUAACCUGCCCUUGACUUUGGGAUAACUUCAGGAAACUGGGGCUAAUACCGGAUAGGAGCUCCUGCUGCAUGGUGGGGGUUGGAAAGUUUCGGCGGUUGGGGAUGGACUCGCGGCUUAUCAGCUUGUUGGUGGGGUAGUGGCUUACCAAGGCUUUGACGGGUAGCCGGCCUGAGAGGGUGACCGGCCACAUUGGGACUGAGAUACGGCCCAGACUCCUACGGGAGGCAGCAGUGGGGAAUAUUGCACAAUGGGCGGAAGCCUGAUGCGGCAACGCCGCGUGCGGGAUGACGGCCUUCGGGUUGUAAACCGCUUUCGCCUGUGACGAAGCGUGAGUGACGGUAAUUGGUAAAGAAGCACCGGCUAACUACGUG